rnacentral:rRNA from 1 species
GAUGAACGCUGGCGGCGUGCCUAAUACAUGCAAGUCGAGCGAACGGACGAGAAGCUUGCUUCUCUGAUGUUAGCGGCGGACGGGUGAGUAACACGUGGAUAACCUACCUAUAAGACUGGGAUAACUUCGGGAAACCGGAGCUAAUACCGGAUAAUAUUUUGAACCGCAUGGUUCAAAAGUGAAAGACGGUCUUGCUGUCACUAAUAGAUGGAUCCGCGCUGCAUUAGCUAGUUGGUAAGGUAACGGCUUACCAAGGCAACGAUGCAUAGCCGACCUGAGAGGGGGAUCGGCCACACUGGAACUGAGACACGGUCCAGACUCCUACGGGAGGCAGCAGUAGGGAAUCGUCCGCAAUGGGCGAAAGCCUGACGGAGCAACGCCGCGUGAGUGAUGAAGGUCUUCGGAUCGUAAAACUCUGUUAUUAGGGAAGAACAUAUGUGUAAGUAACUGUGCACAUCUUGACGGUACCUAAUCAGAAAGCCACGGCUAACUACGUG